rnacentral:lncRNA from 1 species
CAGAGUGAUCCAUACUUGUUUAAUGUAGCUGUAUAAGUAAUUCAUGUUUCUUGUAAUUAUUAGAACAAUUCAUCUUUGAAUGCUGUCAUUUUUGUAAUAAUAAAAAAAGGCGAGAACUUGCAGAAAAUAUGGGAAACAUGCUCAUAUGACAGCUGAGGAUGUGGCUAGACUAAAGCAGGAAACUACUACCCACAAUGCAAUGUUACAUACACUACCACUUAAUAUAAUUUAUAUCAAACAUGCUACUGACAAAACCAAAGAAAAAUAAUAUCCCAGCUAUGCUAUUUAACGUAUCUAGGGAGAAGUGAAAGUAAUCUUUUUAGAACCUUUGUACUUAGAGAAUAUAGUAAAUGAAACUGUAGGACAUUAUAGUAUACGUUGGAACACUGCUGUAACUUUGUGCUAUGGAACAUGGCUGUAGGUAAAACUGUCCUAUAAUGAGAAUCUUUUGUAUAUUAGCUUUCUUGGAAAAGGUACAAAAGGAAAAUCUCCUCUCUUUCAAUUGAACUCUUUUAGUAUUAAAUAGGAUUAGAGGAUAUUAUCACUUGGAAAAAUAAGUUAAAUUUUGAGAUACUCAUUGUCAUUAUCUAAACUUUUAGUAUAGUCAUGUAUAUUUCGUUACAAUUUGUUUUAAGAUGUCUUUUAUUGCCAAGUUGGGGGUGGGACUUGAAUUGUCCACUGAGGCAUAUUUCUUUUUCAAGUAAUUGUUUUUCUUGCUCUUUAUUCAUGUUAAUGGCUUGCUCUAUCAGUCUAUGUGCUUUACUGUAGGGAGGUUAUUCUAAAGCAAAAAUGUGAACUGCUUUUAUAAUGUGGUUGAAAAACAUGUUAAGGCAUCAUCUAAAAAAAUCGGGUUUUAAUAUAUUUAAGGUUUCCGUUUAUAAAUCUUAAUCCACUGUGCUCUUAGCUGUCAGACUUCAGCAAUUUUGAUGAAGUUAGUAACUUAAUAAUUUAGAUGAAUUUUGAGGUUUAUAAAGGAGGUUGUUGAAGGUUUAACCGAACAUAAUAGAGUUUUUGAAUUGAUAACCAAUGUAUACAAGUUUAGUUAGAGGAAGAAUAGAGAAGAUUAGUUCACUACGUUUAAUGCCUAAGCAUGAAAUAUUUUAGCAGAAAUCUUAGUAACAACUAUGAUCAACUAUUUUCCCUCUGUUUUAUCCAUAUUUGAAUUUCAUUGAGUGGAAAAAGUAACUAGUUAUAUUUGAUAUUACUAUGUAUUUCCAGAAACAGUCAUUGCAUCUUCCAUUGGACAUAAUAUCCAAAGUAAAUUCAUUUUCUGAGGAUUUACCUACAUUAGGUAGACUUUGAGUAUUAUUUGAUGAUGGUGGUUACUACUGAGUUUUGCCAAAUGUAUAAUGUCCUGUCUCCAAAAUUACGGUGUCAUCCAGAAUAGUUUCACUGCCCUAAAUAUCCUCUGUGCACCUCCUAUCCUUCUCUCUCCACAAUCCCUGUUAAUAACUAUUUUUUUCUUCCCUUUCUUUUUACUGAUACAUGUAUGUAAUAGUGGUUAAAUACAUAUAACAUAAAUUUACUAUCUUAACCAUUGUGACAACGGAUCUUUUUACUCUGUCUAUAGUAUUGCCUUUUCCAGUAUGUCAUGUAGUUGGAAUUGACUCCCAAUCCUGCAAGUCCUUUUCAUAAUGGUGUUAAUCUAUUCCUGAGGGGUAGAUACCCAGUAAUGAGAUUGCUGGAUCAAAUGGUAGUUCUACUUUUAGUUCUUUAAGGAGUUUCCACACUGUUUUCCAUAGCAGCUUGUACUGGUUUACAUUCCUACCAGCAGUGUAGAAGUGUUCCCUGUUCACCGCAUCCAUGCCAACAUCUACUGUGUUUUGAUUCUUUGAUUAUGGCCAUUCUUACAGGAGGGGAAUACUUUCAAGUUUUCCCCAUUCAGUAUUAUGUUGGCUGUGGUUUUGUCAUAGAUGGCUUUUAUUACAUUAAGGUUUCUUUUGUCUGAUAUAAGAAUUGCUACUCCUGCUUGCUUUUGGUGUCCAUUUGCAUGAAAUGCUCUUUACUACCCCUUUAAGUUUAUGUGAGUCCUUAUGUGUUAGGUGAAUCUCCUGAAGGCAGCAGAUAAUUGGUUGGACAGGAGCUCUUGUAGGGCAGGCCUGGUGGUGACAAAAUCUCUCAGCAUUUGCUUCUCUGUGAAGUAUUUUAUUUCUCCUUCACUUAUGAAGCUUAGUUUGGCUGGAUAUGCAAUUCUGGGUUGAAAAUUCUUUUCUUUAAAAUGUUGAAUAUUGGCCCCCACUCUCUUCUGGCUCGUAGUUUCUGCUGAGAGAUCAGCUGUUAGUCUGAUGGUCUUCCCUUUGUGGGUAACCCGACCUUUUUCUCUGGCUGCCCUUAACAUUUUUUCCUUCAUUUCAACUUAGGUGAAUCUGACAAUUAUGUGUCUUGGAGUUGCUCUUCUCGAGGAGUAUCUUUGUGGCGUUCUCUGUAUUUCCUGAUUUUGCAUGUUGGCCUGCCUUGCUAGAUUGGGGAAGUUCUCCUGCAGAGUGUUUUCCAACUUGGUUCCAUUCUCCCUGUCACUUUCAGUUUGAUCUCAGACAGCUGUGCUAGCAAUGAGUGAGGCUCCGUGGGCCUGGGACCUUCUGAGCCAGGAAAAAAAAUUUAACAGAAACUUUCUGAGGUCUGUUUGUAUAGCUUUGAAAUAACUUCUGCUAACAGUCUGUUUAGUUUUAGAAAAUGAUACUAGCCUUGUAGAGCAGUAGAAUACUAAGUGGUAUCAUUAAUGCCAAACAUAACGAUAAAAUAGUGGAAAAAUUUAUUACAUAUUUAGUUUUUUGGAUGGUUUCAUUGAGAAUCAGGCAACAUCUCAUUCUAUUAAAUAGAAUGGACUGAGCAGAGAUAGUUGGCUUUAUAGGCCAAAAAUGGCUGAAGAAAACAGAAACGAGAAACAAAAAGCAAAUUGGUUGUUUCAAAGUUACUUUCCUUAGUGAUGUUAAGCAUUUUUUCAUAUGUUUGUUGGCCAUUUCUCUAUCUUCUUUUGAAAAUUGUUCAUGUCCUUAGCCCACUUUUUGAUGGGAUUGUUUGCUUUUUUGUUGCUAAUUUGCUUGAGUUCCUUGUAGAUUCUGGAUAUUAGUCCUUUGUCGGAUGUAUAGCUUGCGAAGAUUUUCUCCCACUCUGUGGGUUGUCUGUUUACUCUGCUGUUUAUAUCCUUUUGCUGUGCAGAAGCUCUUUAGUUUAAUUAAGUCCCACCUAUUUGUCUUUGUUUUUGUUAUAUUUGCUUUUGGGUUCUUGGUCAUGAAGUCUUUGCCUAAGCCAGGGUCUAGAAGGGUUUUUCUGAUGUUAUCUUUGAGUAUUUUUAUAGUUUCAGGUUUUAUAUUUAAGUCCUUGAUCCAUCUUGAGUUGAUUUUUGUAUAAGGUUGAAAUUAUAUAAAGCUGGAAUGGAAAAGAGCAUGAGUUAUAAGAACUUUUUCAUCAACCCAUAGGAUAACUCCAAACCCAUUAAGCCGUCGCUUCCUAUCUUCCAGCCCCUAAGCAGCCACUGGUAACACCAAGGAGUAGAAUUAUCUCAUCAUAUGGUAAUUUAACUCACUGAAGUACUUGCCAGCUGUUUUCCAAAAGGGCCAUGUAGUUUUAUAUUUCUACCAGCAAUUUUGAAGUAUUAGUAUUUUGAUUCUCCACAUGCUCACCAAUGCUUGUUAUUUUCCAAUUUUAUUUUGAGGGUCAUUCUAGUGGCUGUGGAUACUCUUCUUUCAAAUUGAACUAACUCUCCUCUUAACAUUAUUGUGAGAAUCAACUUGUGAGAGAAAACUUUUGGCGUAUUACAAAGCACUGUAUAGAUGCCUUUACUUGUGAUGUACGAUUCAAACUGAAAUCGGAUUUAAAAGAUUUGUUCUAUCUUUGGUUUUAUAAGACUUGCAUAGAAAGAAAAUAAUAAAAUUCAGUUGUGAUUAACUAUUGGGCAGUCUAAUAGAAGUAUACAGUAUUAAGCUUUUGGUUGUCCCUUUUUACAUUUGAGAGAUGUUAUUCUUGACAUAGUUUCAGUGUAAGAAAAGAUAAUUGGGGCUCAGUUUCAUUUUCAGUGCCUGCUAUUAAUUAAAGGGCCACUUAUGCCAGAAUUUCCCAUUGAUAUGUUUUGUUGUGUGUGUGUGUGCACACAUAUAUAUAUAUAUUCACAUAUAUAAUACGCAUAUAAAAGUCAUGUUAUAUACUUACCACUAAGAAAAAUGACAAAAUGUUGGACAAUAAAAAGAACAUAAAAACAUUUUUCCUAUAGAUAAAAAUUUUAAAUCAGUCUACUUUUGUAUGUAUUUGAGAUGUAUAUAUAUGUACAUGAUACUGUUAAUUAAUUAAUUUUUUUUUUUUUUUGGCAGAGCCGGGGUCUCACUGUGUUGCCCAGGCUGGUCUGAAACUCCUUGGCUUAAGUGAUCUUCCUUCCUCAGCCUCCCCAAAGUGUUGGGAUUAUAGGCUUGUUAAUUUUUUUAGCUACCAUUAAAAUUUGUUUUCUGAAUUGACUAA